rnacentral:tRNA from 2 species
GCGGAUGUAAUUCAGUGGUAGAAUGUCAGCCUUCCAAGCUGAACGUCAGGGGUUCGAGUCCCCUUAUCCGCU